rnacentral:rRNA from 1 species
UCAGGAUGAACGCUGGCGGCGUGCCUAAUACAUGCAAGUCGAGCGAGAAUGUCCGAUUGAAACUCGGUAGAUUCGGACAUGGAAAGCGGCGGACGGGUGAGUAACGCGUAGGCAACCUGCCCCUUGCACAGGGAUAGCCACUGGAAACGGUGAUUAAUACCUGAUAAUGCAGCUCCAUCGCCUGUUGGAGCUGCCAAAGAUUUAUGGCAAGGGAUGGGCCUGCGUCUGAUUAGCUUGUUGGUGGGGUAACGGCUCACCAAGGCGACGAUCAGUAGCCGACCUGAGAGGGUGAUCGGCCACAUUGGAACUGAGACACGGUCCAAACUCCUACGGGAGGCAGCAGUAGGGAAUCUUGCACAAUGGGCGAAAGCCUGAUGCCAGCAACGCCGCGUGAGCGAUGAAGGCCCUUGGGUCGUAAAGCUCUGUCCUAUGGGAAGAAACAAAUGACGGUACCAUUGGAGGAAGCCCCGGCUAACUACGUGCCAGCCGCCGC